rnacentral:ncRNA from 1 species
CCGGGCCGACGCAGACGCCCGACUCACAAAAGGCAUUUCGCCCAAGUGCUGC